GUAGUCAUAUGCUUGUCUCAAAGAUUAAGCCAUGCAUGUCUAAGUAUAAACGACUUUGUACUGUGAAACUGCGAAUGGCUCAUUAAAUCAGUUAUAGUUUAUUUGAUGGUACCUUGCUACAUGGAUAACUGUGGUAAUUCUAGAGCUAAUACAUGCGUCAAAGCCGCGACUUCUGGGAGCGGUGUAUUUAUUAGAUAAAAAACCAACGCGGUCGAUCUCGGCCGCUCCUUUGGUGAUUCAUAAUAACUUCUCGAAUCGCACGGCCUUGCGCCGGCGAUGCUUCAUUCAAAUAUCUGCCCUAUCAAGUUUAGAUGGUAGGAUAGAGGCCUACCAUGCUUUCAACGGGUAACGGGGAAU
rnacentral:rRNA from 1 species